ensembl:lncRNA
AGGCUAGGUUUGCAUGGCCAUACUGCAAAGAUAGCAGAACAUGUACUUUGAAAAAGUAAUAAUUUAGUUGAACCUGACGCAAGCAAGACUUGUUGCUAGUAUACUGUAUAUCUGGCUGCUGGCUGCUGUAUUAUUUCCACCAGUCAAUCUCUAACUAUCUGUUUAUUGUUUGGUACUAAGCAAGUAGACUAUACAGUGGAUUCUGCAAGCUUUAUUUUUUAUUGAAAACAGCUGCCUUCUGUGGUUGAAAACUGCAAAGUUGUGAGCCGCGCAGCUCAUCUUGGAGCUGUAGUCGAGGAGAGACACAGAUUCAUCUGAUAAUUCUCUGGAGUAUGUUCCUCGCUGUGGGCAACACCUUUCACGCUGAGAUAAAAAAAAAAAAGAAAUCCAGGCAGCCGUCUUUCAUAAGCCGUAAUGUCGGUGUCUUUAGCGCCUGAGGAGAAAUUGCUGAUGUGAAGAGGCAGGUGCCUGCAGCAAGGACUAUAACCUGAGCAAAUGUACCCGACAAAUGAUGUUCCGAGGGGGCCAUCGUGGCGUCCACUGGCCACUAAAGUCGGAUAAUUCAAUUUCAGACGAACAAACCAAAUGAUUCCUACUGCCUCAUGUCACAAUGCUGCUGCUGAGAGAUCUUAGUUGCCAUUAGCUGAUGUGUUUACAUGACUAGAAAACAUUUAUUUUGCUGGCAAAGCUCUGGAGCGUGAACACCGCCAACGUGCAUGGAAACAAUUACACGUCUGGGACAUGCACCCAGUGAUACCGGCCUCCAACCCAAACACACUGGAAAGCAUAAAUAUUCAUAAGAGGCUCGCGGGAGGAUGGAUUAGAUAUAAAUGGGAUGCAAUGUUUUUUUUUUUCCUGUCUUAUAGGAGGAACUGCACGGAGGGGGUAAACUGUACAAAAGGUCCUAAUGCAUUACACCGGCUCCACAUCCACCUUUAUUCAUCCAAACCAGAUUUGUGAAUGAGACGAGGUCUGAAUUAGUUUGCUGUGGUUUCAAACAGUUCGGGUGGUGCUGCUGUCCAGCGCGUUGGCGUCCGUCCAUCAGCCGCUUGAAAAGCAGUGUAGGUUCUGAGAAGUGUGGUUGUGAUUAGCGUGGUCCUUAAACUCCAACCCCCCCAGGUUGUGAAAACAUUUGAAAUUUUUUUUUCAUUUCCUUAGCUUAAAUUGAGGAGCGUCCCGGUUCUCUCUGUGAAUGCACACACACACACACACACACACACACACACACACACAGACACACACACACACACACACACAGACACUCUGCCCUGUGAAGGAAAAUGAUCCCGGACUCACAGAAGUCCAGCGGAGCAGACCUGCUCUCCUGUGACCUCUCGGGUCACACGGAGGAGCGCUGAGCCGAGUGCGGACCACUACUGUGCCCUCGCAGUUUAUCUCCACAGACGCUAUCGAAUGUCACCGAGGGGGGAAAAGACCCCUCUGUUGCUGUACGCAGAGGUAAGAGCAGCAACUUUGGGAAGGAGGUGUGAGUUUUAGGGUUCAGACGCAGGCCAGAGGUUAAAGGAAGAGGUGGAGGUUAAAGGUCGGCGAGUUUAACUGCUCCUACCUGCGCACUGAGUGUCCUCGGUCACGUCCAUUUAACUGACAAGCUCGUAAAUGUUCCCCUUUUUACUGUAAUAUUUGGCUGCAUAUGUCAUGUUUCAGUCUGUUUUCAAAUACUUUACAUCAUUAAUGAAUUGAUUUGAAAUCUCUGCAACAGGGACCUUUGAAUACCCUGUGGGGAGUACCACGCCUCCACUUGAACUGAUGUACAGCGCUUGACAUGAAGUCGGCCGGUUGUAUGGGUGAAGUGGACCCCCCACUGUUGCUCCAGAGGUGGGUGGAGGUGUUAAAGAGCUUGGGGCGGACGGAGUCUCCCGUUCUCAGGCCCAGGUGGGGGCAGAGGGAGUUUCUGGGCUGGUUCUUAAGUUCAGGAAGAGAGCCGGCAGGGGUGCAGGAGCUGAGCAAUUACACUGUUUUGGUUACAGGGGAGCUAUUUGUUUGCGCGGUUUGACAUGUUUCGGUGGACCGGGGGGAGCUGUGCAGUAUGGAAAACCGAUCGCACUCAAGCGUAUUUAUUUGUUCUGCAGGCAAAGCAGCCAAACAGAUCACGGCUCGGGAAAAGGAACUGGAAGUUGGAGACAAGUAAGAAAUCACACACGGAGAGUGAGAGAAAGACAAUUUUGUGAGUUUUCCAAACAUUUGGGCCCUUUGCUUUGUCCCAGCAUGCUGUGCACUGAGUGGGUCCUGUGGAGGUGCGGGUGGUGGAGAGGACACGUCCUCCAUCUGCCUGCCCGGCUUUCCGGACCACCGCACGAUGCUGGCUUCUCGCCAAUGCUGAGAUGAGUUACGUUUUGACUCACAAUGCUGUGCCAAAAAAAAAGAUUCACCAGCAACCAGCAAAAGCUUUAAUUUAAAUAAGCCUUAAUUAUCAACAGGAUAGCAUAAUCCUAGAAUUCUCCGUCAGCCUAUUAUUCAUUGCCCCCCUCUCCCUUUGUCUCUAUUGCUAGGCCUCUUAAGCUCUCUAUUCAAGGGGAGACACAUAUUGUGGUUUGUAGCAUAUAUCACUUUAACACUUUCUUGGGUUUUCUUUUAAACAAUAGCGCUUUAACAAGUCAAGUUUGAUGGAAGACGGUUUUCAUGUCUCGCAAGGAUUAUCACUUUAGACCCCGUGCAGACGGACUCUAGUUUGCCUGAACCCGGGUUCGUUUUUCACACCUACCCACUUUUUUAAUUGCGUGCACAUGAACCCAGUGAAUCCGAUUGACUCCGCUGUAGUACAUCCCCCACGCCUGUUGGUGGCGCUUUAAGGUGCUACAGACAACUGAAGAAAACGGAAGGAGAAGACAGGAGCAUAUACAAACGAACGGCGUAUACAAACGAAAGGAACUGACGAUAUUCCCGUAGUACGCAUUGUAGACUUGUUAGCACAUUCAGCAGGCACAUUAUCCUUGCGUUCGCCAUUGUUAUGAAGUGACGCAUUGGGGUUAAUAAGGGUUCAGCGUGAGGUUGCAUGCAAUCACGUGAUGCAAUCGGAUUUCGAGUUUACUCACUUUUUCACUUUGAGUGCGGAUACAGUGUGCGGAUACAGUGCGUUCGUCUGCAUGAUAGGGCUAUCCGGAGACGGGGUUCACCGGGUUCAGGCUAACUAGAGUCCGUCUGCACGGGGUCUUAGACAAGCAAAUCCCCAAUUGGCAGUAGCAGAUUUUAUUAGCUGCAGUUAGCUGUUAUAGUUGAAAAACACGGUCUACUGCUGGCAUAUAAAAAUAGUCGUGUGAAAAGGUCGUAAAAAAUGCAGCUGAGUAUACAUAACAUUGCACUAAAAGAGUGAUGCUAAAGCCCCUCUAGUCAAUAGCCUCACGUCCUCAUCCUGAUGAGGUGGAAAAUCGAGAAACAGUUUUGCACAGCGUUGUUCUUUUAAUGCAGUGCAGAGUUUGGCUCAGUAUGUGUGAUGGGUAGAGCUCUCCCCUCCCCCCCCCUGCCUGUUUGGCUACACCACCUUAAUUGGUGAUGCCUAACAGGUGUGACCAGGUGCUCUUUAAAUGGGAGCUUUUGCCCCACUAGAGCUAGAGGGGGGCUUGCUGUAGGUCUCCCACGGCAUAGGCACAGCACUCGCCACGUGCGGAUGGGUUUGAGCGGAAUCUAGAGGAAAUGAUCAGGUGGUGCAACACUGAGCCUG